AGUCGAGCGGUAGAGAGAAGCUUGCUUCUCUUGAGAGCGGCGGACGGGUGAGUAAUGCCUAGGAAUCUGCCUGGUAGUGGGGGAUAACGUUCGGAAACGAACGCUAAUACCGCAUACGUCCUACGGGAGAAAGCAGGGGACCUUCGGGCCUUGCGCUAUCAGAUGAGCCUAGGUCGGAUUAGCUAGUUGGUGAGGUAAUGGCUCACCAAGGCGACGAUCCGUAACUGGUCUGAGAGGAUGAUCAGUCACACUGGAACUGAGACACGGUCCAGACUCCUACGGGAGGCAGCAGUGGGGAAUAUUGGACAAUGGGCGAAAGCCUGAUCCAGCCAUGCCGCGUGUGUGAAGAAGGUCUUCGGAUUGUAAAGCACUUUAAGUUGGGAGGAAGGGCAUUAACCUAAUACGUUAGUGUUUUGACGUUACCGACAGAAUAAGCACCGGCUAACUCUGUGCCAGCAGCCGCGGUAAUACAGAGGGUGCAAGCGUUAAUCGGAAUUACUGGGCGUAAAGCGCGCGUAGGUGGUUUGUUAAGUUGGAUGUGAAAUCCCCGGGCUCAACCUGGGAACUGCAUUCAAAACUGACUGACUAGAGUAUGGUAGAGGGUGGUGGAAUUUCCUGUGUAGCGGUGAAAUGCGUAGAUAUAGGAAGGAACACCAGUGGCGAAGGCGACCACCUGGACUAAUACUGACACUGAGGUGCGAAAGCGUGGGGAGCAAACAGGAUUAGAUACCCUGGUAGUCCACGCCGUAAACGAUGUCAACUAGCCGUUGGAAGCCUUGAGCUUUUAGUGGCGCAGCU
rnacentral:rRNA from 1 species